AUAUUUUGACUAUAACUAGACCACUCAGAUUGAAUUUUUUGAAAAUUUUGUACAUUCAAAUUGCGUCAACUGCUUUAAUUGUCUGAAAUACUUGAUUUGCUUUCUUGAGUAUUCAUCUAGUUUUAUCAUUAAAGCUAGGUAUUUCCAAGGGCUCCUAAAACUAAUGAUUAGCGAUGUAAUAUCUUAAAUAUACCAUUUAAGUUGAUGAAUGUAUAGUAUGUUUUACUAGGAUACACGGUAGAACACAUAUACUUGGAUGUUAUGCAUACACAUCGUAGUAAUUGGUCCAUUGUUUGGAUUGAAUGUUUAGUAUGAGAACUGUAUGGUGGUAUACCAAAAAAUUUUUACGUUUUUGAAAGUAAAGAUAUGAUUAAUAUCUGCAAUGUUUUCUUUUAGAUUAUGGAAUCUGUUACAACAGCUUAAAUGGUAGUUUAAUUAACAAGGUAUUUACUUUUUAUUGUUUUUUUGCAGCUCCUCC